AUUGAACGCUGGCGGCAGGCUUAACACAUGCAAGUCGAGCGGAGAUGAGGUGCUUGCAUCUUAUCUUAGCGGCGGACGGGUGAGUAAUGCUUAGGAAUCUGCCUAUUAGUGGGGGACAACAUUCCGAAAGGAAUGCUAAUACCGCAUACGUCCUACGGGAGAAAGCAGGGGAUCUUCGGACCUUGCGCUAUUAGAUGAGCCUAAGUCGGAUUAGCUAGUUGGUGGGGUAAAGGCCUACCAAGGCGACGAUCUGUAGCGGGUCUGAGAGGAUGAACCGCCACACUGGGACUGAGACACGGCCCAGACUCCUACGGGAGGCAGCAGUGGGGAAUAUUGGACAAUGGGGGGAACCCUGAUCCAGCCAUGCCGCGUGUGUGAAGAAGGCCUUAUGGUCGUAAAGCACUUUAAGCGAGGAGGAGGCUACUGAGACUAAUACUCUUGGAUAGUGGACGUUACUCGCAGAAUAAGCACCGGCUAACUCUGUGCCAGCAGCCGCGGUAACAC
rnacentral:rRNA from 1 species